rnacentral:rRNA from 1 species
AACGAACGCUGGCGGCAUGCCUAACACAUGCAAGUCGAACGAGACCUUCGGGUCUAGUGGCGCACGGGUGCGUAACGCGUGGGACCCUGCCCUUAGGUUCGGAAUAACUCCCCGAAAGGGGUGCUAAUACCGGAUAAUGUCUUCGGACCAAAGAUUUAUCGCAUUUGGAUGGGCCCGCGUUGGAUUAGCUAGUUGGUAGGGUAAAAGCCUACCAAGGCGACGAUCCAUAGCUGGUCUGAGAGGAUGAUCAGCCACACUGGGAGUGAGACACGGCCCAGACUCCUACGGGAGGCAGCAGAGGGGGAUAUUGGACAAUGGGCGAAAGCCUGAUCCAGCAAUGCCGCGUGAGUGAUGAAGGCCUGAGGGUUGUAAAGCUCUUUUACCCGGGAUGAUAAUGACAGUACCGGGAGAAUAAGCUCCGGCUAACUCCGUG